rnacentral:tRNA from 1 species
GACGGUAUAGCUCAGUGGGAGAGCGCAUGCUUAGUAUGCACGAAGUUCUGGGUUCAAUCCCCAGUACCGCCA